rnacentral:tRNA from 1 species
GGUAGUGUGGCCGAGGCAGGCGCCGGGCUGUAGCCCCGGAGACAGAGACAUCUCUCACUAUCA